CACGAGCUCUGUGCCGCAGCAAACGCAUUAAGUGCCCCGCCUGGGGAGUACGGCCGCAAGGCUAAAACUCAAAGAAAUUGACGGGGGCCCGCACAAGCGGCGGAGCAUGCGGAUUAAUUCGAUGCAACGCGAAGAACCUUACCAAGGCUUGACAUACACCGGAAAAGUGCAGAGAUGUGCUCCCCGUAAGGUCGGUGUACAGGUGGUGCAUGGUUGUCGUCAGCUCGUGUCGUGAGAUGUUGGGUUAAGUCCCGCAACGAGCGCAACCCUCGUCCCAUGUUGCCAGCGGGUUAUGCCGGGGACUCAUGGGAGACUGCCGGGGUCAACUCGGAGGAAGGUGGGGAUGACGUCAAAUCAUCAUGCCCCUUAUGUCUUGGGCUUCACGCAUGCUACAAUGGCCGGUACAAAGGGCUGCGAUACCGCGAGGUGGAGCGAAUCCCAAAAAGCCGGUCUCAGUUCGGAUUGGGGUCUGCAACUCGACCCCAUGAAGUCGGAGUCGCUAGUAAUCGCAGAUCAGCAACGCUGCGGUGAAUACGUUCCCGGGCCUUGUACACACCGCCCGUCAAGUCACGAAAGUCGGUAACACCCGAAGCCGGUGGCCCAAC
rnacentral:rRNA from 1 species